AUGACUGUAAUAGAUUUCAUAGAUCUGAGUGAUCAUGAUAUUAUUGACUUGAGCAGCAGCGAUGACGAGACUGUUCAGGAGGAUCAUAUUGCAACUCAGCACCGGGCGGCGUCGCUUGAUAGGCAGACUAUGCAUGUCGUAGCUGGUGAAGGAAUCGAAGAUGUGCAGGCUGCGUUUGUUGCAGCUAGUGAAGGAAGGCAAGAUGUGCAGGCUGUGUUUGCUGCAGCUAGUGAAGGAAGACAAGAGGCUGCUGAUUGCGGACAUGCUUUGGAAGCCACCACAUCGUCCUUGGUUACAGAAAAAGAACCUCUUGUUGCAGCUAGUGAAGGAAGCCAAGAGGCUGCUGAUUGCGGACAUGCUUUGGAAGCCACCAUAUCGUCCUUGGUUACGGAAAAAGAACCUCUUCUUGCAGCUAGUGAAGGAAGCCAAGAUGUGCAGGUUGUGCUUGUUGCAGCUCGUGAAGGAAGCCAAGAUGUGCAGGCUGCUAGUGAAGGAAGCCAAGAUGUGAAGGUUGUGCUUGUUGCAGCUACUGAAGGAAGUCAAGAAGCUGCUGACUCUGGAAAUGGUUUGGAAGCUACAGCAUCGCCUUUGGUUACUGAAAAAGCACCUCUUGAUACGGCUGAAUCGCACAACUGUCCACUCUCUCCCACAUCAGCGCUGUUCCCCAGCCCGACUUCUACCGUUCUGAAGGCUCCGACCUUUGAAGGUGGCGAUGCAAAGCUGGUAAGAGGGAAGGUGAAGCGUCCCAGGAAGAACUACCACACCGGUACUCCUAGGACAAGUCCUAGGUUUGAACUGAAGCCUGAAUGUCGGAACGGGUCUCUGGAAGAGCUGCCAGCCGAGGCACUGACCUCUGAAGGUGGCGACGCGGAGCUGGUGAGAGAGAAGAUGCAACAUCCUGGGAAGGAUUACCAUACCGGCACUCAUGGGACAAGUCCUAGGUUUGAACCGAAGCGUGAAUGUCAUAACGGGCCUGUGAAAGAGCUGCCAGCCGAGGCUCUGACCUCUGAAGGUGGCAACGCAAAGCUGUUGAGAGCGAAGGUCAAGCAUCCUCGGAUGAACUACCAUACCAGCACUCCUAGGACAAGUCCUAUGUUUGUAACGAAGCUUGAAUGUCAUAACAGGCCUUUGGAAGAGCUGCCAGCCGAGGCUCUGACCUCUGAAGGUGGCAAUGAAGAGCUGGUGAGAGGGAAGCUGAAACAUCCUACGAAGAACUACCAUGCUGGCACUCCUAGGACAAGUCCUAGGUUCGAACAGAAGCUUGAUUGUCGUAACGGGCCUGUGGAAGAGCUGCCAGCCGAGGCACUAAUUUCUGAAGGUGGCGAUGUGGAGUUGGUGAGAGGGAAGGUGAAACGUCCUAAGAAGAACUGCCAUACCGGCACUCCUCGGACAAGUCCUAGGUUUGAACCAAAGCAUGAAUAUCAUAACGGGCCUGUGGAAGAGCUGCCAACCGAGGCACUGACCUCUGAAGUUGGCGACGCGGAGCUGGUGAGAGGGAAGCUGAAACAUCCUAGGAACAACUACCCUGCUGGCACUCCUAGGACAAGUCCUAGGUUUGAACCGAAGCCUGAAUGUCAUAACGGGUCUAUGGAAGAAAUGCCAGCCGAGGUUCUGACCUCUGAAGGUGGUGAUGCUGAGCUGGUGAGAGGGGAAGUGAAACAUUCUAGGAAGAACUACCAUACCGGCACUCCUCGGACAAGUCCUAGGUUUAAAACAAAGCGUGAAUGUCGUAACGGGUCUGUGGAAGAGCUGCCAGCUGAGGCUCUGACCUCUGAUGGUGCUGAUGCAGAGCUGGUGAGGGGGAAGGUGAAACAUGGUAGGAAGGAUUACCAUACUGGCACUCCUAGGACAAGUCCUAGGUUUCAACUGAAGCGUGAACGUCGCAAGGGGCCCGUGGAAGAACCGGCAGCCGAUCACAAGAGGUUCCGCACACUAGAAGAAUUAAUUGCCUCUCCUGACAAUGCAGAAUCUGCGAAGACCCCCUUUACCGACUCUCUGAACUAA
rnacentral:rRNA from 1 species